GAUGAACGCUAGCUACAGGCUUAACACAUGCAAGUCGAGGGGCAUCACAGUGUAGCAAUACACGGGUGGCGACCGGCGCACGGGUGCGUAACACGUAUCCAAUCUGCCCGUUACUCGGGGAUAGCCUUCUGAAAGGAAGAUUAAUACCCGAUGGCAUGUAUUUCCGGCAUCGGAGAUACAUUAAAGAUUUAUCGGUAACGGAUGAGGAUGCGUACGAUUAGCUUGUUGGCGGGGUAACGGCCCACCAAGGCUACGAUCGUUAGGGGUUCUGAGAGGAAGGUCCCCCACACUGGAACUGAGACACGGUCCAGACUCCUACGGGAGGCAGCAGUGAGGAAUAUUGGUCAAUG
rnacentral:rRNA from 1 species